CAGCCGCCGCGGUAAAACGAAGGGGGCUAGCGUUGCUCAGAAUUACUGGGCGUAAAGGGAGCGUAGGCGGGUCGUUUAGUCAGAGGUGAAAUCCCGGGGCUCAACCUCGGAACUGCCUUUGAUACUGGCGACCUUGAGUAUGGGAGAGGUGAGUGGAACUCCGAGUGUAGAGGUGAAAUUCGUAGAUAUUCGGAAGAACACCAGUGGCGAAAGCGACUCACUGGCCCAUUACUGACGCUGAGGCUCGAAAGCGUGGGGAGCAAACAGGAUUAGAGACCCCGGUAGUCCCUGUCUCUUAUAC
rnacentral:rRNA from 1 species